CUAGAUGAUGCCAGUGCCGCAUGCAGACAGCUGACAGCUGAAGCAUGGCUGAAGUGUGGAAAAUUGAAAGAAUUCGAAAAGGGAAAUCAAUAUUCAGCCUAAGUUAAUUAACAAUAAUGUUUUUGAAACUGAAAAACUGAAAGAUGAAUGGACUUGACGUAAUGACGACCAUUGUUGAAGCUGGUCAGGAAUUCUAAGCUGUCAUCAUCCUGCAGCUAUGCAUGUUUUGUAAAUGGUGAAUCUCAAAUGAAUCCAAGAACUUUGAGUCGGCAUUUCACUUUCUUUCCAAUUUUAAUAAUGGUUUUUGUUUGAUUUUUCUAGGUGAUAUUGCUGAGCUCUUCCUUUUUGUGGUUCCUUUCAAUUGAUUCAUUUGAGUUAAAUCCCUAGCUUCUGUUCCAGACUUUAUCCACUAGUGGAAUAUGUAGAGAGAUGUUCAACUUAUUCCAAGUUAACCCUUGCUACAAGUUGAUGGUCAUUCAUUGCUUCAACAAAUAUAAAAAAAAAGAGAAAUGCCGAGGUCGCGAGUUCGAGCCUCGCCUGGAGAAUUUAAUUUAAAUGAAGUUGGAAUAGGAAUAUUGGAUUAGGCCGAAAGUUAUUCACAUAUAUUAACCUAAUAUCAAGACAUGAGAAAAGCUGUUUAAUCCAGUCCCAUUAGUUGUGAACUAA